rnacentral:rRNA from 1 species
UAGCCUUGACGACGCGCCUGCUGUUGUCAUACGUGCUGUCUACUUGCUACGCCCUAGUUUGCCAGACGACCUGAGACGAUGUACGUACCUGCCUGUCCCUAGACAACAGCACGUACUUAGCACGCGUGUCGUAGCACACACAUCGUGACGAGCAAACGUUAGCGUGUGGCCGGUGAGUUUCACAUGGACUGGACUCCUGUCCCUGGGGCGAAGCGCUCCUCUCCUCUAGUGUUCCAAGUCUGAAGUCUAGGCCUUACCAUUCGAAGGGGCGGAGUUUAGAGAAGAUCCCAAAACGAAGGCGGGGGGACUGAGCCCUCUAUGGCAACCGCUCUACGUCCGCAGCUAGAGCUCGGGCGACGGCCACCGGACCAUGGGGCGAGACCGGCAGGAGUGCCAGCGGCAGCCGGAGUACGAGUGGCGGAGGAAGAAGUAAAUACUUCGCUGGUAUAGGUGCGCGUCGGCUUCGAAUCGGUUCCUCGAGUGGUGGCGUCGACAACGAAGGCAAAAAGACCCAAAACCUAGAGAAAAGCAAGAGGAGCGUUCACCACAAAUACAGACUGUUCCCUGAACGUCGGAUAUGGAUGUACCUGUAGGUUCUUAAAGAGAUCCCCUUUCCUGUAGUUUCUAACUUUUAAGCACAAAUGUACAUCAGAAC